UCAGUCGGCCGGACGGCCGUUCCCGCAAGUGCCGAAAGGCCGCGGGAGAGGAAAGUCCGGGCUCCAUCGACAUGCGGUGCCGGAUAACAUCCGGCGGGGGUGACCCCAGGGAAAGUGCCACAGAGAACGAACCGCUCCCUCCUCGGAGGAAGUAAGGGUGAAAAGGUGCGGUAAGAGCGCACCGCGUUUCCGGCAACGGCGACGGCAUGGCAAACCCCACCGGGAGCAAAACCGAAUAGGGACGGCAACGCGGUCAGUUCGCGACAUCGCGAUAACACCGCAGGGCGAUGUCAGGCCCGCUGUCCGGGUAGGUUGCUCGAGGCAAGGUGCAAACCUUGUCCCAGAGGAAUGGCCGUCACGUACCAUUCGCGAGAAUGGUGCCCUACAGAACCCGGCUUACAGGCCGGCUGAUGCU
rnacentral:RNase_P_RNA from 4 species